UGAGGGAAAGGCGAAAAGAACCCCGGCGAGGGGAGUGAAAAAGAACCUGAAACCGUGUACGUACAAGCAGUGGGAGCACGCUUAGGCGUGUGACUGCGUACCUUUUGUAUAAUGGGUCAGCGACUUAUAUUCUGUAGCAAGGUUAACCGAAUAGGGGAGCCGAAGGGAAACCGAGUCUUAACUGGGCGUUAAGUUGCAGGGUAUAGACCCGAAACCCGGUGAUCUAGCCAUGGGCAGGUUGAAGGUUGGGUAACACUAACUGGAGGACCGAACCGACUAAUGUUGAAAAAUUAGCGGAUGACUUGUGGCUGGGGGUGAAAGGCCAAUCAAACCGGGAGAUAGCUGGUUCUCCCCGAAAGCUAUUUAGGUAGCGCCUCGUGAACUCAUCUCCGGGGGUAGAGCACUGUUUCGGCAAGGGGGUCAUCCCGACUUACCAACCCGAUGCAAACUGCGAAUACCG
rnacentral:rRNA from 1 species